CGUCAAAUGAAUAAGGGCUUACGGUGGAUACCUAGGCACCCAGAGACGAAGAAGGGCGUAGUAACCGACGAAACGCUUCGGGGAGCUGGAAACAAGCUUUGAUCCGGAGAUUCCCGAAUAGGGCAACCUCUUGAACUCCCUAUUGAAUUCAUAAAUAGGAGAGAGAAAACCUAGUGAACUGAAACAUCUUAGUAGCUAGAGGAAAAGAAAGCAAACGCGAUUCCCUUAGUAGCGGCGAGCGAAAUGGGAUCAGCCUAAACCGAGCUAUUUAUUCUAUUGGGCUUUGCCCAGGGCAUUUGACGUAGUCAAAUGCGAAGGUGUCAGCAAGGUAAGCUUCGCUUACGAAAAGCACCGGGAAGAACCGAUAAAUAGAAUCGGGGUUGUGGGACUCUAAGAUAUCAAAAGUCAAAAAAGUUAGGUGAAACAGCUGAAUACUGUACCAUAGAUGGUGAAAGUCCAGUAACUGAAAACCUUUUUAUUUUUCUUGAAGAUCCCGAGUAGCAUGGGGCACGUGAAAUCCCGUGUGAAUCUACGAGGACCACCUCGUAAGGCUAAAUACUCCUGGGUGACCGAUAGUGAAACAGUACCGUGAGGGAAAGGUGAAAAGAACCCCGUCCGGGAAGUGAAAUAGAACAUGAAACCGUGAGCAUACAAGCAGUGGGAGAUGUACUAAACAUUGACCGCGUGCCUGUUGAAGAAUGAGCCGGCGACUUAUAGGUAGUGGCUUGGUUAAAGCUUUUUAGGCUGGAGCCGUAGCGAAAGCAAGUCUGAAGAGGGCGAGAUUGUCCCUAUCUAUGGACCCGAACCCGGGUGAUCUAACCAUGGCCAGGAUGAAGCUUGGGUGAAACUAAGUGGAAGACCGAACCGACCGAUGUUGAAAAAUCGGCGGAUGAGCUGUGGUUAGGGGUGAAAUACCAAUCGAACUCGGAGCUAGCUGGUUCUCCCCGAAAUGCGUUGAGGCGCAGCGGUUGAUUACGAGCUGUUUAGGGGUAAAGCACUGUUUCGGUGCGGGCUGGGAAACCGGUACUAAAUCGUAGCAAACUCAGAAUACUAGACAUGCCUUCAAUCAACCAGUGAGACGGUGGGGGAUAAGCUUCAUCGUCGAGAGGGAAACAGCCCAGAUCACCAGCUAAGGCCCCUAAAUGACUGCUAAGUGGCAAAGGAGGUGAGAGUGCACAGACAACCAGGAGGUUUGCCUAGAAGCAGCCACCCUUGAAAGAGUGCGUAAUAGCUCACUGGUCAAGCGCUCUUGCGCCGAAAAUGAACGGGACUAAGCAGUCUGCCGAAGCUGUGAACUUAUACGAUUAAAAAUCGUUUUUUUGGUAGGGGAGCGUUCCGCUCUAGGGUGAAGCAUUAGCGAAAGUCAAUGUGGACGAAGCGGAAGUGAGAAUGUCGGCUUGAGUAACGAAAACAUUGGUGAGAAUCCAAUGCCCCGAAAACCUAAGGGUUCCUCCGCAAGGCUCGUCCACGGAGGGUGAGUCAGGACCUAAGGCAAGGCCGAAAGGCGUAGUCGAUGGCCAACAGGUUAAUAUUCCUGUACUAUAUCUUAUCAAGUCCCGAGGGACGGAGAAGGCUAGAUUAGCCGGAUACUGGUUACCGGUUCAAGCAGUUAGACGUUGAGAGAUAGAAUAAAAAAUAUCUUGAGUGAAGCUGUGAGUACAAAUGUCUACGGACAAAGAAGUAAUUAAUGUCAUACUCCCUAGAAAAGCUCGAACGACUCAAACUUAAAUUUUUUAUGUUUACUAUAAGAUAUACCUGUACCCGAAACCGACACAGGUAGGUAGGUAGAGUAUACCAAGGGGCGCGAGAAAACUCUCUCUAAGGAACUCGGCAAAAUGGCCCCGUAACUUCGGGAGAAGGGGUACCUUGGCCUCCUGCCUUGGCGGGAGGCUUUGGUCGCAGUGACCAGGCCCAAGCGACUGUUUACCAAAAACACAGGUCUCCGCUAAGUCGCAAGACGAUAUAUGGGGGCUGACGCCUGCCCAGUGCCGGAAGGUUAAGGAAGUCGGUUAGCUUUUUGGCGAAGCUGGCGACCGAAGCCCCGGUGAACGGCGGCCGUAACUAUAACGGUCCUAAGGUAGCGAAAUUCCUUGCCAGGUAAGUUCUGGCCCGCACGAAAGGCGUAACGAUUUGGGCGCUGUCUCGGAGAGAGACUCGGUSAAAUAGAAUUGUCUGUGAAGAUGCGGACUACCUGCACCUGGACAGAAAGACCCUAUGAAGCUUUACUGUAGCCUGGAAUUGGCUUCGGGCUCUUCUUGCGCAGCUUAGGUGGAAGGCUGAGACCUUAUUUUUCCGGAAAUAAGCGAGCCGUCAGUGAGAUACCACUCUGGAAGAGCUAGAAGUCUAAUGGCGGUCCUUGAAUCAGGACGCUUGACAGUUUCAGGUGGGCAGUUUUACUGGGGCGGUAGCCUCCUAAAAGGUAACGGAGGCGUGCAAAGGUUCCCUCAGGCUGGACGGAAAUCAGCCGUAGAGUGUAAAGGCAGAAGGGAGCUUGACUGCAAGACCUACAAGUCGAGCAGGGACGAAAGUCGGCCUUAGUGAUCCGACGGUGCCGCGUGGAAGGGCCGUCGCUCAACGGAUAAAAGUUACUCUAGGGAUAACAGGCUGAUCUCCCCCAAGAGUUCACAUCGACGGGGAGGUUUGGCACCUCGAUGUCGGCUCAUCGCAACCUGGGGCGGAAGUACGUCCCAAGGGUUGGGCUGUUCGCCCAUUAAAGCGGUACGUGAGCUGGGUUCAGAACGUCGUGAGACAGUUCGGUCCAUAUCCGGUGUAGGCGUUAGAGUAUUGAGAGGAUCUUUCCCUAGUACGAGAGGACCGGGAAGGACGCACCUCUGGUGUACCAGUUCUCGUACCAACGGGACACGCUGGGUAGCCAAGUGCGGASSGGAUAACUGCUGAAAGCAUCUAA
rnacentral:rRNA from 1 species